rnacentral:rRNA from 1 species
GACGAACGCUGGCGGCGUGCUUAACACAUGCAAGUCGAACGGAAAGGCCCUGCUUUUGUGGGGUGCUCGAGUGGCGAUCGGGUGAGUAACACGUGAGUAACCUGCCCUUGACUUUGGGAUAACUUCAGGAAACUGGGGCUAAUACCGGAUAGGAGCUCCUGCUGCAUGGUGGGGGUUGGAAAGUUUCGGCGGUUGGGGAUGGACUCGCGGCUUAUCAGCUUGCUGGUGGGGUAGUGGCUUACCAAGGCUUUGACGGGUAGCCGGCCUGAGAGGGUGACCGGACACGUUAGGACUGGGAUACGGCCCAGACUCCAACGGGAGGCAACGGUGGAGAAGAUUGCACAGUAGGCGGAAGCCUGGUGCGACGACGCCGCGUGCGGGAAGACGGGCUUCGGGUUGUAAACCGCUGUCGCCUGAGACGAGGCGAGAGUGACGGUAAUGGAUAAAGAAGCACCGGCUAAAUACGUG